UACGAAGGGGGCUAGCGUUGCUCGGAAUGACUGGGCGUAAAGGGCGCGUAGGCGGACGCAGACAGUCAGAAUGUGAAAUUCCUGGGCUUAACCUGGGGGCUGCAUUUUGAUACGUGUGUGCUUGAGUGGGGAAGAGGGUCGUGGAAUUCCCAGUGUAGAGGUGAAAUUCGUAGAUAUUGGGAAGAACACCGGUGGCGAAGGCGGCGACCUGGUCCUUGACUGACGCUGAGGCGCGAAAGCGUGGGGAGCAAACAGG
rnacentral:rRNA from 1 species